CCGGCGCACGGGUGAGUAACGCGUAUGCAACUUACCUAUCAGGAGGGGAUAACCCGGCGAAAGUCGGACUAAUACCGCAUGAAGCAGGGGUCCCGCAUGGGGAUAUUUGCUAAAGAUUCAUCGCUGAUAGAUAGGCAUGCGUUCCAUUAGGCAGUUGGCGGGGUAACGGCCCACCAAACCGACGAUGGAUAGGGGUUCUGAGAGGAAGGUCCCCCACAUUGGAACUGAGACACGGUCCAA
rnacentral:rRNA from 1 species